CCUACGGGAGGCAGCAGUAAGGAAUAUUGGUCAAUGGACGAAAGUCUGAACCAGCCAUGCCGCGUGAAGGAUUAAGGCCCUCUGGGUUGUAAACUUCUUUUAUCUGGGACGAAAAAAGGGUAUUCUUACUCACUUGACGGUACCAGAGGAAUAAGCACCGGCUAACUCCGUGCCAGCAGCCGCGGUAAUACGGAGGGUGCAAGCGUUAUCCGGAUUUACUGGGUUUAAAGGGUGCGUAGGUGGGCUUGUAAGUCAGUGGUGAAAUCUCCGGGCUUAACCCGGAAACUGCCAUUGAUACUAUAGGUCUUGAAUUAUCUGGAGGUAAGCGGAAUAUGUCAUGUAGCGGUGAAAUGCUUAGAUAUGACAUAGAACACCAAUUGCGAAGGCAGCUUACUACGGAUACAUUGACACUGAGGCACGAAAGCGUGGGGAUCAAACAGGAUUAGAUACCCUGGUAGUCCACGCCCUAAACGAUGGAUACUCGACAUCAGCGAUACACUGUUGGUGUCUGAGCGAAAGCAUUAAGUAUCCCACCUGGAAGUACGAUCGCAGAUUGAACCUUAAGAUAGUACGCGNGAGAGAGCGACGACGACGACGAGAGGAGGAGG
rnacentral:rRNA from 1 species